UUAAGAGUGAAAAAAAUGAAUCCAGAAAAUACAAAAAAAGGGACUAAAAAUUCUCUACUAUUCCAUGGAGAUGCAAUAGUUUUUCGGAUUCUUUCAAUUCCUGAAAUCACUAGUGUUUCAUUGAUGAGAUUUGAGUUGGUUUGAGAUUAGUUUUGGAAGGUUUUUAGUCAAGCUGUGUUGAAUAUUCUAUUGGAUUAUGAACUGAUUUUUGGUUUCAAUUACUGAAUCUGGGCUGGCUGUUUGCUUAUUACUGAUCUUCUCCUUCUUCUAUCCAUUUUCUUUUCCAAGUAUUCCCAAAAAUACCAUGGACAUCACUUAAAUAUAUUCGAUGUUUUGUAUUUGAGUUUAGGAAUAAGAAAUGAAGCUAUCCAUAUUGAAUCUUACUUGUUUUCUUUAACUACAUGUAUGUUUGUAAUAUUUAACAUUAGAAACGUCAUCACUAGUAUGUUGAGUAUGAGCUGAUGGUCACAUCAUAACAAUGAAGCUUCGUGUAGUUUGCUUCUGUGUCUAGUAUCUGUUUUCCUGUCAAUAUUAGCUAUGGUUGAAGGAAUUGUUUUGGUUGUUGAUGGUAAUAACUUUGGGUUGAUUCGAAUAGUUGGGUAGUGUUUGAAUACUAUAAGGUGAAUCUUACAUUAAUUGUUUAAUGGUCUAUUGAAAGGCUUGAAGCCCC
rnacentral:lncRNA from 1 species